rfam:Beta vulgaris subsp. vulgaris Bvchr4_un.sca029.con0005.1, whole genome shotgun sequence.
GGGUGCAAUCAUACCAGCACUAAUGCACCGGAUACAAUCAAAAUUCCGCAGUUAAGAGUGUUUGGGCGAGAGUAGUACUAUGAUGGGUGACCUUUUGCGAAGUCCUCGUAUUACACCCC